GACGAACGCUGGCGGCGUGCUUAACACAUGCAAGUCGAACGGUGAAAGCGGAGCUUGCUCCGCUGGAUCAGUGGCGAACGGGUGAGUAACACGUGGGCAACCUGCCCCUCACUUCGGGAUAACUCCGGGAAACCGGGGCUACUACCGGAAAUGACCUCCUUGGGCAUCCUUGGAGGUGGAAAGUUUCUCGGUGAGGGAUGGGCCCGCGGCCUAUCAGCUUGUUGGUGAGGUAGUGGCCAACCAAGGCGACGACGGGUAGACGGCCUGAGAGGGCGACCGGCCACACUGGGAUUGAGACACGGCCCAGACUCCUACGGGAGGCAGCAGUGGGGAAUAUUGCGCAAUGGGCGGAAGCCUGACGCAGCAACGCCGCGUGCGGGAUGACGGCCUUCGGGUUGUAAACCGCUUUCAGCAGGGAAGAAGCCGCAAGGUGACGGUACCUGCAGAAGAAGCACCGGCUAACUACGUGCCAGCAGCCGCCGUAA
rnacentral:rRNA from 1 species